UGGGGAAUUUUGCGCAAUGGGCGAAAGCCUGACGCAGCAACGCCGCGUGAGUGAUGAAGGUCUUCGGAUCGUAAAGCUCUUUCGGCCGGGACGAAAACGGGUUGGCCAAUAUCCAACUCCUUGACGGUACCGGAAGAAGAAGCACCGGCUAACUCUGUG
rnacentral:rRNA from 1 species